rnacentral:rRNA from 1 species
GCCAAACCUAGCCCUACACAACCCCUAACCCAACUACCAACACCACCAAAAUAACCAAACCAUUUACAUCCAUAAAAGUAUAUGUGAUAGAAAUUAUUAACAGGCGCUAUAGAGAAAGUACCGCAAGGGAAAGAUGAAAGAAUAACUAACAGCACGAAAUAGCAAAGACCAACCCUUUUACCUUUCGCAUAAUGAAUUAACUAGAAUAACCUUUGCAAAGAGUCCUUUAGUCAAAAACCCCGAACCCAGACGAGCUACCUGCGGACAGUACAAAGAACCAAUUCAUCUAUGUCGCAAAAUAGUGAAAAGAUCUUCAGGUAGAGGUGAAAAGCCAACCGAGCCUGGCGAUAGCUGGUUGUCCAAAAACUGAAUUUAAGUUCAACUUAAAAUUUACCCAAAGAACAUAAUAUCUAAUCUCAACAUAAAUUUUAAAUAUAGUCAACAGAGGUACAGCUCUAUUGACAAGGAAUAAGCCCCAUUUAGAGAGUAAUUUUUUACCUCCCUCCAUAGUAGGCCUAAAAGCAGCCAUCAACAAAGAAAGCGUCCAAGCUCAAUUAGACAACAACCCCAAAAAUCCCAGAAAUAAUUCUCAACUCCUAAUUUACCAUUGGACUAAUCUAUGAUAUAGAAGAAAUAAUGUUAAUAUAAGUAACAAGAAUAAAUUUCUCCACGCACAAACCUAUAUCAGAACGGACUCACCACUGAUAAUUAACAGCCAGACUUUUAUACAUCACCAAAUAUUUUUAAGUCACAACUCACUGUUAACCCAACACAGGAAUGCAUACUGGAAAGAUUUAAAGAAGUAGAAGGAACUCGGCAAACAUGAAUCCCGCCUGUUUACCAAAAACAUCACCUCUAGCAUAAUAAUUAUUAGAGGCACUGCCUGCCCAGUGACACACAUUCAACGGCCGCGGUACCCUAACCGUGCAAAGGUAGCAUAAUCAUUUGUUCUUUAAUUAAGGACUUGUAUGAAAGGCCCAACGAGGAUUUUACUGUCUCCCACUUCCAAUCAGUGAAAUUGACCCCCCUGUGAAGAGGCAGGGAUGACCCCAUAAGACGAGAAGACCCUACGGAACUUCAAUUAACUGGCCUAACCAUAACCCACAUAAACCAACAGGAACAACCCCCCACAACCUAGACCAACAAUUUCGGUUGGGGCGACCUUGGAGUACAAAAAACCCUCCAAACAACCACACACUUAGACUUUACCAGUCAACGUACCUCAAAACUAACCCAAUUGACCCAAGCAAUUGAUCAACGGAACAAGCUACCCUAGGGAUAACAGCGCAAUCCUAUUUCAGAGUCCAUAUCGACAAUAGGGUUUACGACCUCGAUGUUGGAUCAGGACAUCCUAAUGGCGCAACCGCUAUUAAAGGCUCGUUUGUUCAACGAUUAAAGUCCUACGUGAUCUGAGUUCAGACCGGAGUAAUCCAGGUCGGUUUCUAUCUAUAAAUCUUUUCUCCCAGUACGAAAGGACAAGAGAAACUGGGCCCACUCAACAAAAGCGCCCUAAAGCCAAACAAAUGACUUAAUCUAAAUUUGGUCAGCCCCCGACAACCAACCCAAGACCAGGGUUU